rnacentral:rRNA from 1 species
AAAGUCAUGGUUAAGUGGGAAACGAUGUGGGAAGGCCCAGACAGCCAGGAUGUUGGCUUAGAAGCAGCCAUCAUUUAAAGAAAGCGUAAUAGCUCACUGGUCGAGUCGGCCUGCGCGGAAGAUGUAACGGGGCUAAACCAUGCACCGAAGCUGCGGCAGCGACGCUUAUGCGUUGUUGGGUAGGGGAGCGUUCUGUAAGCCUGUGAAGGUGUGCUGUGAGGCAUGCUGGAGGUAUCAGAAGUGCGAAUGCUGACAUAAGUAACGAUAAAGCGGGUGAAAAGCCCGCUCGCCGGAAGACCAAGGGUUCCUGUCCAACGUUAAUCGGGGCAGGGUGAGUCGACCCCUAAGGCGAGGCCGAAAGGCGUAGUCGAUGGGAAACAGGUUAAUAUUCCUGUACUUGGUGUUACUGCGAAGGGGGGACG